rnacentral:rRNA from 1 species
CCUGCACCUGCCGGCGACCGGCGCACGGGUGAGUAACACGUAUGGAACCUGCCCGCCACAGGGGGAUAACCCGGGGAAACCCGGCCUAAUACCUCAUGCCGCCCGGACCGGGCAUCCGGUCCGGGCGAAAGGAGGAAUCCGGUGGCGGCUGGGCAUGCGGCGCAUUAGCUUGACGGCGGGGUAACGGCCCACCGUGGCGACGAUGCGUAGGGGUUCUGAGAGGAAGGCCCCCCACACUGGAACUGAGACACGGUCCAGACUCCUACGGGAGGCAGCAG